UGAAAAAGAAAAAUACCAAUCAGAGGGAAGAUGUGGCUUCACUCUUGGCAGAGACAGAGGAUAACAGCAGGUCAUGAAGAGUCUUGGCUUAUACCCUGCGGCAUUCCAGUUCUGCUUUUCUACUCUUUGGCGUCUCCAAGCACCUGACCUCAGCUCAACCUGCCUCUGGCCUUGUUUCUCCUGCCUGACACCAACAGCUGGAAAGAACCCUGCCCUUCUAUGUGGAGAGAGAUGAGGCUCAGCGUGGUUUACCGGAAAUAAAGCUUGCAUUAUGGGAGGGAACAAACAGUCUCCAGGUGAGAAAUUAUGGGAACUGUCACGCCAAAUCAGCUGGUCGCCCUUAUGUCAUGGGAUCCGGACCAGGAGAAGAAGGCUGGCCGGGCGGAGUGCAUGUGAUCAGCGUGUGACAGGCCGUGCAUCCAGCCUACUGAUGGCACCGGCUCUCCUGGCCCAAAUAACCACAAAAAGGAACAGAUUUCAGACAGGCAGUUUUACAGCGUCCCUGUGGUUACUUUGCCAACUUCCAGCCACUUCUUUCUCUAGCACUGAGCCGAAGAGACACGUGACCAUUAUCAAAAUGUGCUGAAUAUAUAGGUCACUCCGUUUUAGUUAUCUUUAAUCUGAGGUGUAUCGAUUUACCUUUCCACACCAAUCCACUCAAUUUACGUUUAGCUCAAGCUUUCAAAUUAAUUGCAUCCUGAAUUUAAAAAAACAAAACAAAACAAAACAGGUUAGGGAGGUGAAGACCGUUAAAAGGGUGUUGUCUUUUCUUCUCUGUCGCUGGAAAGAUUGAGAUGACCGGCUUUUCCAGAGAGCCUUUAAAAGGUUUUUCGUUGUAGCCACGGCCAGUUGUGAUAUUUUCCCCAAACUCUCAUCUGUAGCACCUGCUGCGAAUGUUUCACUUUCUGUGGUUUUUAUUUAAAAUUUCUCCAUCACGUUUUACGAGAAUCAAAAGGAAUCCCUUCGGAGAGGGAGGUUUGGUCGUCUUUUUCACUGGCUGAUCUCUCUCCCGUGUGGCUGUGCUUUCAGGGCUAUACCACACUGUCCACACAGUAGUAAAAACCAGAGAGAUGUGGGUCACCACAGGAGCGAGCUUGCUUGUCAAGGGACGCAGCUUUUUGGAGAUGUGGGCUUUUCAGUGCUGAUAACCAACCCUGUGGGAAAUUCCUUCUGUGAGGAAUGCAUUUUGAAAAUCUGCAGACCCAGAUGAGGGCCAGAAUGGCACAAUCACGACAUUUCGAGGUGUAACUCUCUAAACCUUUUUCUUGAGUCUCAGAAUUUAUUUCACUUGCUAAUUUAUUUUUAAUUUUGUAUUAUGUUUUAGGGAGAGGAAGCAUGAGUGGGGGAGAUGGGCAGAGGAAGAGAGAGACAGAAUCCUAAGCAGGUUCCACGCUCCAUGCGGAGCCCAAAGUGGGGCUUGACCCACGACCCUGGGAUCAUGACCUGAGCCGGAAUCAAGAGUCGGUUGCUUAGCCGACUGAGCCACCCAGGCGCCCCUCGCUUAUUAUUUUAAAAAUAGAGUCUUCCUGUAGUCAGCAGCAAUAUAUUAUUCACUUAAAAAUUUGUUAAGAGGGUAGAUCUUGUUAAAUGUUCCUGCCGCAAUGAAGUUAAAAAAAGUCUUCAAAAUUUUUUAUCUUUUCACUUUUUUUUUCAACGUUUUUUAUUAUUUUUUGGGGACGAGAGAGACAGAGCAUGAACGGGGGAGGGGCAGAGAGAGAGGGAGACACAGAAUCGGAAACAGGCUCCAGGCUCCGAGCCAUCAGCCCAGAGCCUGACGCGGGGCUCGAACUCACGGACCGCGAGAUCGUGACCUGGCUGAAGUCGGACGCUUAACCGACUGCGCCACCCAGGCGCCCCUCUUUUCACUUUUAUUAAACAUUGGAUGUAUUCUGAUUAUUCUAGACAAACAAUUUUGGAAUAAACUGAUUCCUCAUCAUUUCA
rnacentral:lncRNA from 1 species